rnacentral:lncRNA from 1 species
CCACGCCUGCAACAUUCAAAAGUUCCCAUCCCUGGGCUUGAACUAGAACCACAGCAGUGAUCUGAGCCACAUCAGGGACAAUGCCAGCUCUUUAACCUGCUAAGCCACCAGGGAACUCCAAGAAGAUUCUAAUUUUCAUGUAAAAUCUUAAAUCCCUGGCAAACAAAUAAAAAAAAUAUUUGAGCAGCAUUUGGAUCAAAGGAAACAGCCAGGAAGCCCCUUGUGACCUCUGCACUAGGCCAGCAAACAUGGACAUUUUCAUCUCCUAAUACUACGCCUGAAAUGAUAAUAAUAUAUAAUUCCUGAUGGUUCAAAGGGCUCUGAGGAAAUGAAUGAUGAGGCUAAAUUUUAUUGGGGAAGCUAAGAUCUCCAUGGUAGGAGAUGGGCUCAGAAGAGUGGAGAGGGUUUUUACAUAAAAAAUAAAAAUGGUGUGUGUCAGAAUACAGAAAAGAAAAACAGAUAAGCAGAGAGAGAUGGAUAGCAUGAGGGGGUGGGGAGAGAGAAAGAGAGACAGAAAGGGGAAGAGAGAGGGAGGGGGGAGAGUCAGCACACAGGGACCAAGAAAGAACGAAAAUAAGGCAGAAAUGGGCAUUUGGGGAAAGUAAAUAAAAUUCCUCUAAAAUUUUUGCUUAGAACAGCCUUGCUAGCAAAAUAAUUUCUAGAAAUUUUUACUGACAAUGUCAUCAUUUUUUAUAAUCUUCAGCAUAGUUGAUGAUGCUCAACUCUUGGGUUGCCCUAAAAAUAAGUGGGACCCCAGAAGAAAACUCAUUAUUCCUGGAAUUAAAUUCUUAACAGACAGAGAAACUGUCUGUGAAUGUAUCUGAGAGCAUGAUGAUCUUGAGCAAUUUUUCCCUUGCAGAAAACUCAAGAGUUAAAAGGAUAAAAUGUUCAUAAAUAUGCUUUAAUACUUCGGAGGGAAAAAAAAGGGAGGGUUAACAAGCAUUAGGGCACAAACUUAUAUGUGAAUCCAAAUGCACCCAUCUCUAAAAUAUACAUUCAGCUGGAAGCCCUGAAAAUUCCAGAACUCUAAGGGUCAAGUUGUAGCAUCAUAAAAAUGAUGAAUCUCAAUUCAUGAAAACAAUUUUCAAAGUACGAGAAAAAUUAAGAGACCUGGCCCACUCCCGAGGUAUGAACCUAAAUAGAUACUGAUAGCAAUCAUGUGCUCCUUCCAAACAUUAUUUCAAUUUUUACAAAAUCCAUUAGGAUUUAGACCCAACUCUUUCAAUAAAGACUUGAUAGGAAACUAUUCUCAGUUCUUCUUGGUUUUUUCCUCUCUGAACGGGUACAAUUUUCUUUUUUCUUUCUUUCUUUUUUUUUUUUUUUUUUUUUUUUUUUUUUGUUCUUUAACAAGAGUCAGUAAAAGUGUUUAAAAUGUCACCAGUUACUUUUUCAAAUUUCUAUCCAGAUAAGUCAUAUUUUGAAAGCGACAACUAGUCUUUCCACACAUAGCAAUUUUAGAAGGUUUUAUAGCUUAUCCAAUUUCAUUCAGAGGGUAGAUGGGUGAGGGUUUGGAUGGGGGGCAAAUAAUGCCUUCGACUGCCCAUAAAUGCCAAUCAACCUCCAGUCAGUGGCCCGGGCCUCCAUCUUUCAAAUGUCAGUAAGUCUUCUAUUAAAAAAAAUACAUGGGGCCAAGCGCCUGUGUAGUUCUCAUUUCUCAUGAUCGCAUUUUCAAAUGUUCCUGAUCUUUCCUCCCUUGCUUAUGCUUUCUGAUAGGAGUGACACAGCUGCCAACGCACCCACGUUCACAUCCUGAAAUCUCUGAUAAAGCCACGCUGAUGCUGUGAUUUUUUUUUUUUUUUUUUUUUCACCGUGAAAGAAGAUAGAGUCUCUUCUUUCUGGGCAGUUAGCCUCUUUCUGAACUGGGAGCUUCAUCCCAUUUCAUUGUUUUUCUUUUUUCCAGACAGAAUUAGAUUUAAAUCAAGGAGUUCCCGUCGUGGCGCAAUGGUUAACGAAUCCGACUAGGAACCAUGAGGUUGCGGGUUCGAUCCCUGCCCUUGCUCAGUGGGUUAACGAUCCGGCGUUGCCGUGAGCUGUGGUGUAGGUUGCAGACGCGGCUCGGAUCCCGCGUUGCUGUGGCUCUGGCAUAGGCUGGCAGCUACAGCUCCGAUUAGACCCCUAGCCUGGGAACCUCCAUAUGCCGCGGGAGUGGCCCAAGAAAUAGCAAAAAGACCAAAAAAAAAAAAAAAAAAGAUUUAAAUCAAGAACAGCAUGUGCUGAUUGAUUUUUAAAAAAAAACUCAGAUAAGCCAAAAAUUAAUUAAUUAAAACUUAAAAACAUACUGUAUUCCAUCCCCUCAGAGAUACACCUAGAUAUAUUUUUGGGUGUGUGAGUAUAUAUUCAUGUUGUUGCUAUUUGAACAAACAAUAGGAUGAUACUAUUUUGAGACAAUGUUUCACUUGAAUUACUAUAAAUACUGUUCUGUCAAUAAGUAUCAACCACAUGGCUCUUAAUAGCUGAAUAAAAUACAAUAGCCAUUGUAUAUUUUGCCAUCCUAUAUUUAGUCAGUGUAAUUUUUCACUAUUAUAAACAAUACUGUGAGGAACAUCUUUCCAACUAAAUCUCUGGACAUGUUCGAAAAAUAAGACAGGAUGAGGAUAAGCAAUUCAUCUCAGGAAGUAGUAUUCCCAGAUCUGGUUGAACCCCAAAUCCAUUCUUCUACUCAUCCAUGCCACUCUACUGCCCAGCAGGUGAAGUUUUCAGCUCACACAACAGUCAUGGUUCAAAGCAUUUUGAUGAGACUUGCCAAAUAGCUCUCCUGUUACGCCAACUCCCAUUGUCUCUAGGGACUCAGGGGAAGGGUCUAUCUGGCUCUCUCAGCCCCUCCGGAAAUACCACCAACACCACCCUUUAAGCACCGCUUGUGAGUUAGCUUCAACACCUCAGAAAACGGUGCUAUAAAAAUAGGCAAAAGAUCUGGGACUCAAAUUGAACAUAAAGCUGUUGCAGAUAUUGUUUCUUGACAAACAGCCUCUCCAAACCAUAUAAAUUGUCCAAAACCUCUUAAACCUUUGUUCUACAUCACCCACGUAGGACUGACUGCAAAGGGAAUUCCGCCAAGGAACUACAGGCUAAUUGAAAAAUCAUUCACCUGAGAUGCAGUCAGCCUCAUGCUCCAUUUCUACCGACAUCUAUGGAAACGGGAAACACAUGGAGCCUUCUCUGAAAGGAGCAAGUGGCUGAUCAGCAAACUCAAAGGGACAGCAUCUGUUUUUUCCUCCCCUGUGUUCCUGGGGAUUUACAUUUAAUAAUUCAUGAGAGAUGCAAAAAAAUCCCCAAAAGAUCUAUAGGGGAGAGGGGUUCUCCAAACGCCUUCCAUCCCUGAGUCGUAGCAACUCCCCUUUCAAAGAAGACUGUAGCACUGAUGGCGUGAGAGCCAGUGUAUCAUCCAAGAGCUGUUUCUAAAACCUAUUGUUCAGAGAGGAUUAUCAUGGGUUUCCAUUAACAGGACUAAGUAAACGCUUUCCUAAAUAAUCCUGUCAAUGUUUUGUUUUGUUUUGUUUUUUUAACUACAUCUAUUUUUGGAAGAAAGGCUCAGUAGGGUGCUGGCAGGGGGAUUCUAUUGAUCCUCAUUUUGGAGGUUUUCCCCACCUCUGCUUUUUGGAGGGACAAUGAAUAUUGACUCUACCUACCAUUAAUUUUCCACAGUCAGCACGGGCCUUUAGGCUGUCUAAGUAUACUCUCAAUACAGACUGGCUUAGAAGCUCUUGUUUAUUGGAGGUUUUCCUCCUGCCUUCAGUGUUCUGUCCCCCUGGAAGACACUACUUCACAUAUUUAAGGCAAUUGGCUGCUGGAAAAAAGUCCCUCCCAGGCUUGUCAGGAGACGGGUUUUUCACCAUCUUUCCAGGGGGAUCAGGACGUGCAGUUAAGGUGCAGUGAUUUCACGGGCGUGGGGAGCGGGUUCUGAGAGUAGAAAGAGGACCAGGAAGGGGGUUCAAGAGGGUAUCAGCCACCCUCCCUUUUCUUCUGCAUUCCAGAGCUCAAGGCUGUGCACUUCUUAUCUCUCCAAAGCCCCCACGGAACACGUGGGCAUCUAGACAUGUAUGUAUUUUUCUCCCCACGAGGAAUGACCAUACUUUAGGUGUCAUUUGAGUCUGUGUUCUCUCAGAAGCCCUCUGUUGUUUCAAGACUCCUUAGGAAAACACCACCAAAGUGACCGACAAGAGCUCAACCGUGACUUCUGCGGCUCUGCUCGGACCAGUGUGUCCGGGUCAUCAUUGCUGCCGUCAGGGGCGGCCCUAGUGGUUCUGAGGCUGCAAGAGCAUAAGUGGAGCCAGGCAACGACCCAGGCUUCUCAGUAGAGACCUGCAUGGUCCUUUGGCUGUCAGAGCCCUUUAUAACCUCUGAGAUGCCACCUGAAGUGUUUGGCUUGGAGGCAGGCAUCUCGGUCCCUAGAUGGGAAGCAGGGUUCCCCUCACCUGGCCCUCCUGCCCCCUUUCAGGCACAUGAGAAAUGGCAGAGGGACCCCUGGCUGGGCAGCUGUCUCCAGAGGGCACAGCCCAUCUGCCUCCAAAGGCCCCUCACCCAGGAAUACCCUCCUCUGGCUUUCUGCGCCGUCUCAGGCCAACCCCAGACGGUGUCACCCAGGUCUUCCAAGCCAUGGUUCAGAAGCACACAGGUCGCUCACUAGCCCUUCCUCUGCGUGGAUGUUCUAACCAUGCUGCCUUCCUUCCUUCCUCAGGGAUGCACUCAGAGAUUUCUGCCAGGUCCUAAGCUACGUACCAAAGAUGCCUAUCCUGCCUUCCAGCAGCUCAUCAUCCAAGAGCAUGUUUGAAUCAUCUGGGGGAGGGGAGGAGAGGGGAGGCAGAGAAACAUCACAAAAAUGGUGAAAAAAUCCAAUCUCUUGGGAUAGACCACUGAUGGAAGAUACUAUAAGAAACGUGUAUGUUGGGGGGGGGUAUGACUGGGUCACUUUGAUAUGCAACAGAAAUUGGCACAACAUUAUAAAUCAAUUAUACUUUAAAUUAAAAAAAAAAAGAAUGGGAGCAAUAUGGACUUAAGGAGCUCUGCUAUUUAAACUGGGUUAUCUUGGGCGAAUUUCUUAACUUCUCUGUGCCACAGCUUCAUCACCUCUAAAGUGAAGGUAAUGAUAGCACUGACCGUCAGGGGCCGUGAGCCGGAUUAAAUCAGCUGGUGCAUACGUGUGCCAGGCUCCUUGCCUGGUCCUUCGUCAGUGUCCUGUGCGUUUGCUGCCAUUAGCACCAGCACUGCCUGUCUCAGUUGACAGAGAACUGAGACCGGAAGGUGGGAGUCCAUGACAAUGAGGCCCCCCAGCCCGGACUGGAGUGGGGCUGGGGAGGGUCAGAGAAGCCUCUGUGCAGAGGUAGGGAGUUGCCAGUGCAAGGCGGGGAGUGCACCCUCAGGGCCAUGGGGCAGGACUGGACGGCUUUCAGGAAGCCCUACGAGGGUGACAUGAUGGGCUGUGGAUGGUACAAAGACGGCUCUGCGCAGGUGUGAGAAGGCAGCUGGAGGCGAGGGCAGGGUGUGGGGAGAGAGCUUAGAAGACUAAGAAGCAGGUGGAUUGGUGCGUGCUGAGGGCAUGGCGCCAGGGCUCUUUGGUGUGGCCAUGCUGCCCUUGCUCUCGUCAUCUGUCCCCAUCCUCAGCGUCCCUCUUCCCUCUCUUCGGUCUGUCUCUGCUGGUCUCUCUCACUGUGUAUGUGAAUCUCGAAUCCCCUUAACCUCCAAUCCCUCCCUCCCUUUGUGUCUCCCCAGCAUCCUGCUCUCCUUUCCCAUAGGGCUUUCUGCCUCCCCACAUAACUCCCAUUUACCUACUGGGCUUAUCUUCUUGGACCUCCUUCCCCUGCCCAUGAAGGUGUAAGAGCCACAGGGCUGAGAUUUCCCACCUGUUUGCUCCCUGACCUACACCAGGAACUUAGCGAAGUUUCUGACACUUGGGAGACACCCCAUAGUACUGGGAACUUGAUUUUGGCAUCCCCCGCUGCCUCAGACUGAAGAACAGCCAGAGUCCCUGGGGCUGCAGGAGGUAGGGG